rnacentral:rRNA from 1 species
CGCAUGGUUCAAAAGUGAAAGACGGUCUUGCUGUCACUUAUAGAUGGAUCCGCGCUGCAUUAGCUAGUUGGUAAGGUAACGGCUUACCAAGGCAACGAUGCAUAGCCGACCUGAGAGGGUGAUCGGCCACACUGGAACUGAGACACGGUCCAGACUCCUACGGGAGGCAGCAGUAGGGAAUCUUCCGCAAUGGGCGAAAGCCUGACGGAGCAACGCCGCGUGAGUGAUGAAGGUCUUCGGAUCGUAAAACUCUGUUAUUAGGGAAGAACAUAUGUGUAAGUAACUGUGCACAUCUUGACGGUACCUAAUCAGAAAGCCACGGCUAACUACGUGCCAGCAGCCGCGGUAAUACGUAGGUGGCAAGCGUUAUCCGGAAUUAUUGGGCGUAAAGCGCGCGUAGGCGGUUUUUUAAGUCUGAUGUGAAAGCCCACGGCUCAACCGUGGAGGGUCAUUGGAAACUGGAAAACUUGAGUGCAGAAGAGGAAAGUGGAAUUCCAUGUGUAGCGGUGAAAUGCGCAGAGAUAUGGAGGAACACCAGUGGCGAAGGCGACUUUCUGGUCUGUAACUGACGCUGAUGUGCGAAAGCGUGGGGAUCAAACAGGAUUAGAUACCCUGGUAGUCCACGCCGUAAACGAUGAGUGCUAAGUGUUAGGGGGUUUCCGCCCCUUAGUGCUGCAGCUAACGCAUUAAGCACUCCGCCUGGGGAGUACGACCGCAAGGUUGA